rnacentral:rRNA from 1 species
UACGUAGGGAGCAAGCGUUGUCCGGAAUCAUUGGGCGUAAAGCGCGCGUAGGCGGCCCGGUAAGUCCGCUGUAAAAGUCCAGGGCUCAACCCUGGAAAGCCGGUGGAUACUGUCGGGCUAGAGUCCGGAAGAGGCGAGUGGAAUUGCGAGUGUAGAGGUGAAAUUCGUAGAUAUUCGCAAGAACACCGGUGGCGAAGGCGGUUAGCUGGGGUCGAACUGACGCUGAGGCGCGACAGCGUGGGGAGCAAACAGG